UACGAGUGCUCCAAGCGUUAUCCGGAAUCAUUGGGCGUAAAGGGUGUGUAGGCGGUUGUGUUAGUCUUUUGUUAAAUUCUUCGGCUUAACCGGGGACAUGCGAAGGAAACGGCACAACUAGAGGAUGCGAGAGGUAAAUGGAACUCAUGGAGUAGGGGUGAAAUCCGUUGAUAUCAUGGGGAACACCGAAAGCGAAGGCAAUUUACUGGCGCACUCCUGACGCUGAGACACGAAAGCGUAGGUAGCGAAUGGGA
rnacentral:rRNA from 1 species